rnacentral:lncRNA from 13 species
CCUUACCUCCUGAAUCCAGGAGAAUCAAGGUCCACUAUGGGUUAACCCCUGGUCUACAAAGAGUCCAAGAACUAGGGUUACACAGUCUGGGAGGCCAGGGAUUACGUCAACACAGAGCCAGACUUGUUGGGGGCAAGGAGAUGUCAGAUAUCUAUCCUGCCAUCAGGAGGGUAUUUGGAAUUCUAUCAUCUCUAGCUGUACUGGUAUGACACAGAAUGCUGGAGAUACAAUGGUGAACAAGACAGAAGAGGUGCCUACCUUCAGGGAAUUCCAGUGAGGAAGACGGCAGUGAUGAAGAUCUUUUCAACUGUUUUAUAGGAAGGGAGGAAGAAUAGCAUACGAGCUUCAUAAUUCUAGGACCUCAGCAAUGAAUUACAGGUGUGCCAGAGGUGUGGCUGAUCUGCCGGAUUUGGCAGGAUCCAGGUGCCAGAGCUCCUGGGAUGUCUGCCUCCUCUCUGUGCUGCUUGAGCAAAUCCAGCCUCUGCUUACAGUGGAUCAGGUUCACUUCAAGAUGUGUUACUUCAGCCUAACCACGUUUUUCAAUGUGUGGUCCCUGGACCAGCACUGAGAUCAGCAUUAACUGGAAACAUUUUCAAAAAGCAAAUUUUCAAGCUGCCUUCUUUCCUUCUCCUGCAUCGAGAGACCUGGAGGGUCAGUGAAACACUUUGUAUGAAGAAGACAUAAAUCUCUUUCCAGGAGUUUCAGUGUGUGAUAUGUUUGUAAAACACUGCUUAGAGUAUUAAGUGAAUUGAUUCAGCAAACAAAUAUGGAAUCAUUUCAUGAACCACUUUUAUGAGUUAGAUUUGGGACGAAUGAAAGAAAACAGUGAUUUUAACAUGCAUUUAUAUUAUACUUUAUGAUUUCACUGUAUCUUAUUCCUAAAGUAUUUAUUUCUUACUGAGCAUCUAUUCUGAUUAACAGAAGAUUUGCAUUAGUUUUGAAAGCAGCCAUAAUAAGCUCAAUCACAUAUCAAAAUUUCUUGGGAGAAGAGUGUGCAUAUGUUUAAUCUCAUAGUUUAGAUAGUAUUCAUAAUCCCUUUUAUGUGCCUCCAAAAUGUGUGUAAUCUCACAAGCAAUGUUAGGCAAUAUAGUAAGAAUAUUUCUGGUUAUUUAGAAGCCUGUUUUUUGGUGGAUAAGCUAGGAGUCUGCUUUUACCAAAGACUUUGAUGACAUUCCUGUGGCUUCUCAUUGCAGGGACUAGCCUCAUUAAAGGGACACUAGGCAGUCAGCCAACCUCAAGCAAUUUUAAGAGCAAUGAAUAUGCCAUGGAACAAGGGGACUCUGUCACCACACCCUCUACUGGGGAUGUAUGAAAGAUUUUGGAGAGAUGUAGUAAGUCAUUCUUAGUAGUCUUUGUACUAAACACUCAACUAACAAGAAGUCCUUUGGCCUCUUCAGUGAUUCAUCUCCCUGGCUCCUAGUAGGGCAGUUGUGGCUCUCCCCUGGGAUGGUGUUGGCUGUGGAUGUGUUAGCACCCAUCCACCAGUGGGUGUGAGUUUUGGCUAUAGCUAAGCUGGCUCUGGCCACUUGAUGACAGAAGAUAUUGACAUGAGACCUCUAUUAAGUUCUGACAAUCGAAACUAUAUUAUAAUCAGUGUCCUAAGGAAUCAAACUUGAAGAGAUAUUUUAUUGACAGCUUUCCAGGUGAUAAAAUGUGGGUUUUAGAUUCUCUCUGUUUUGAACUGUGCAAAGUAGACUGAUGAUGAACUUUGUGGGCUGCACUUUUAAAAAGUCUUAGCUUUUCUUGAUAGAACACUGUUUUUUAUUUUACAUUGCCCCAGUGGAUUUGAUUUUCCCUUAACUUUAGGUGAAUUGUAUUUUACUGAUUUCCACAUUUUAAUAAAUACGUUAACUCAGCCA